AGAGUUUGAUCCUGGCUCAGGACGAACGCUGGCGGCGUGCUUAACACAUGCAAGUCGAACGGCAGCACGGGAGCAAUCCUGGUGGCGAGUGGCGAACGGGUGAGUAAUAUAUCGGAACGUGCCCAGUAGUGGGGGAUAGCCCGGCGAAAGCCGGAUUAAUACCGCAUACGACCUACGGGUGAAAGCGGGGGAUCGCAAGACCUCGCGCUAUUGGAGCGGCCGAUAUCAGAUUAGCUAGUUGGUGGGGUAAAGGCCUACCAAGGCAUCGAUCAGUAGCUGGUCUGAGAGGACGACCAGCCACACUGGAACUGAGACACGGUCCAGACUCCUACGGGAGGCAGCAGUGGGGAAUUUUGGACAAUGGGCGCAAGCCUGAUCCAGCAAUGCCGCGUGAGUGAAGAAGGCCUUCGGGUUGUAAAGCUCUUUUGUCAGGGAAGAAACGGUGCGGGCUAAUAUCCUGCACUAAUGACGGUACCUGAAGAAUAAGCACCGGCUAACUACGUGCCAGCAGCCGCGGUAAUACGUAGGGUGCAAGCGUUAAUCGGAAUUACUGGGCGUAAAGCGUGCGCAGGCGGUUUUGUAAGUCUGACGUGAAAUCCCCGGGCUCAACCUGGGAAUUGCGUUGGAGACUGCAAGGCUAGAAUCUGGCAGAGGGGGGUAGAAUUCCACGUAGCAGUGAAAUGCGUAGAGAUGUGGAGGAACACCGAUGGCGAAGGCAGCCCCCUGGGUCAAGAUUGACGCUCAUGCACGAAAGCGUGGGGAGCAAACAGGAUUAGAUACCCUAGUAGUCC
rnacentral:rRNA from 1 species